UACGGGGGGAGCAAGCGUUGUUCGGAUUUACUGGGCGUAAAGCGUGCGCAGGCGGUUUUGUAAGCCAGAUGUGAAAUCCCCGGGCUUAACCUGGGAAUGGCAUUUGGGACUGCAAGGCUCGAGUGCGGCAGAGGAGACUGGAAUUCCUGGUGUAGCAGUGAAAUGCGUAGAUAUCAGGAGGAACACCGAUGGCGAAGGCAGCCCCCUGGGCUAACACUGACGCUCAUGCACGAAAGCGUGGGGAGCAAACAGG
rnacentral:rRNA from 1 species